rnacentral:rRNA from 1 species
GAUGAACGCUGGCGGCGUGCUUAACACAUGCAAGUCGAACGAGAAGUGAAGACGGAAACCUUCGGGCGGAAGGCUUUAUUUCGAGUGGCGGACGGGUGAGUAACGCGUGGGUAACCUGCCUCAUACAGGGGGAUAACAGUUGGAAACGACUGUUAAUACCGCAUAAGACCACAGCACCGCAUGGUGCGGGGGUAAAAACUCCGGUGGUAUGAGAUGGACCCGCGUUCGAUUAGCCAGUUGGCGGGGUAACGGCCCACCAAAGCGACGAUCGAUAGCCGAUCUGAGAGGAUGACCGGCCACAUUGGGACUGAGACACGGCCCAAACUCCUACGGGAGGCAGCAGUGGGGAAUAUUGCACAAUGGGGGAAACCCUGAUGCAGCGACGCCGCGUGAGUGAAGAAGUAGUUAGGUAUGUAAAGCUCUAUCAGCAGGGAAGAAAAUGACGGUACCUGAGUAAGAAGCCCCGGCUAACUACGUG